rnacentral:lncRNA from 1 species
GAUCUGUCGGUGGGAGAGAAUAAAUCUUGAUAUAUGUGUGUGGUAACGACAUUGUUCUCCAAUGGAAUUGUUCGUGUGGAGCCAUUAAGUUGAUCAAUGCGCAGUGUUGUUGAUGGUAGCUUUGGGAGAGAAUGAGAGAGUUGUGGAGGGUUAGGGAGACGAAUAGAAGCGUUGAUUUUUGUUAGAGAAGAAGAGAGGAGAUGUGUGGUCUGUAAAGAAGCCAUGGGAUGUGUGUUGAUGAGAUUGAGUUUGGAGAUGUUGAAGAUGUUGGAGAUUGGAGAUGUUAGAGAUGUUGGAGAUGUUAGAGACGAGAAUGAGAAUAAUGAGAGAUAGGGGUAGGGUUGGCGUAUAUAUAUAGAGUGACAGAGAGAGACAUAUUCAAAGGAAGAAGUGACGGGUAUAAGGAAAAGUUUGACUAAUAUAUUAAGAGAGAAAAAGGCAGAAGAUUAGACUUGGCCUUGGCCUUGGCGUGAUGGCGGACUCUUUCAGCUAUCAGAUUUUGGUGAGUUCUGAAAUUUCAACCCUUUAAUGUGAGACGCAGUAAAGCCAUCAAUAUCAUAAUGUCAAAUCUAUAACUGUUAUAUUCAACUGCAACAUAAAGUCAGUUAUUUGUUAUUUGAUGAUUUCAAUAAUUAGUUUCAGGUGUAUUUAAUUACAUGUUUAUUGUCUUAAUAGAGCUAUAGGAAAAACACACUGGCUUGAUGAGC